rfam:Schistosoma mansoni, Puerto Rico, WGS project CABG01000000 data, contig: 0115
ACACUGCUGAGGAGUCCCAUAAUAGGACGAAACGGCCGUCCAGUAC